UACGGAGGGUGCGAGCGUUGUCCGGAAUCACUGGGCGUAAAGGGCGCGUAGGAGGCGCGGGAAGUCAACGGUGAAAGUUCGGGGCUCAACCCUGAAUCGGCCGUCGAUACUCCCGGGCUCGAGCACUGUAGAGGCAGAUGGAAUUCCGGGUGUAGCGGUGGAAUGCGUAGAGAUCCGGAAGAACACCGGUGGCGAAGGCGGUCUGCUGGGGUCGAACUGACGCUGAGGCGCGACAGCGUGGGGAGCAAACAGG
rnacentral:rRNA from 1 species